ensembl:lncRNA SLC20A1-DT SLC20A1 divergent transcript
GGGAUGCUCACGUGGUCGCUUUGCUCCCGCAGUCAUGCACUUGGGUGAAAACAGACUGAAGAGUCACGGGAACCAGCUUGUCUCCCCAGUUAUGGCGCAGAGCUGCAAGGAUGGCUGUGGGUCAUUAAUUUCUCCGUGGCUGACCUGUGUUUGUAACGCCGCAGCUGUUGCGAGGGGGAAGGACACUGCUUCGGAUUCAAAUUCUGACUCCUUGCUGCAGUGUGUCACCUUGAGCCAGUCCCAGAUCUCUGCGUUCUCACAAUUGUAAAAUGUUAACAGAGGCUGCCUACCUUGUGGCUGGAAUUAAAUGAAUUAACGUGUGUGAAUGUGACUAGAAUUCAGUACAUGUUCAGGAAAAGCUGAUUUCCGCUUUGCUGUUACCGUGAAUAUUACUGUUUUAGGGUGUAGAAAAGGGUGGAAGGGGAUGUUAUUGCAUCCUGGAAGCUUAUCCUUUUGAGGUAAAGAUUGAUUUCUGGUCCCCUGCGUGGUAUAUAGUGUAGUUUUGACAUUAUUUAGAUGUGUUAUGCACAUUUGGGUGUUGAUUAUAUGGCUUACGAUCAAGACUAACCAGUCAUGCCGUGGGAGAUUAAGGUCGUGGUCUCUUGUCAGGAUUGUAGUGAGAUUUAAAAAUUCCAGCCAGAAAUACCAGGCUUAGAAUGCUCUGAAGCCCUCCCCACAUUUUUGCCAUCUCUAGCAGGAGGGCACUGCAUAGCAGAAACAAAGACGUUGUAAAUUGUUGCUGCCUGAGUCAUUUAUAGAGGCUUAAACAACCUGAAUGUCCUCUGACCUACCUGUAACAUUUGAUGGAGUUGUAUGAGUAACUUACAAAGCUGUAGGUCCCAAGGUCGGUCUGAAAAAGAAAGUUCAUAUCCGGGAGCACUGACCCCGUAGUGUAAUCCUGGCACCUUAAAACGUACUGCUCCCUCCACCUUCACUUCAAGGUUAUGAAAACAUUGAGUAAAAGGGAUGAUCUGUUCAAAGUCCUUAGUGUUCUGCCAAUUUAAAACAGUAAUUUUCAAAGCAGUUAUUUGCAAGGAAAUUGCCUAGAACUUCUCCCAGUGUGCGGUUGUUUUGUGUGUUUGUGUGUGUGUUUUGUUUGUUUGUUUUCAGUCUGUCCACAGGCGUACUUUUAUAGGUCUGUGAUAGUAGGUAGCUCUUCAAGUUGGCAAACACCUGCUGGACAACCCCUGAGAGAUUCAUCUGAGUGAGAGAGCACUCUCCAGCCCCAUCGGAGUGGGUUUGCAGGGAAAUCAUAAGGUAGAGAUUCAAAGGAAUUCCCUUGCGUUGCAAAUGAAAACUGUAUCUUCAGACUCUGAUAUAGUGUAAUCCUUCCUUUUUAGGAAGAAAUCCUUAUCUUUCCAACACUGAGAUGCUUCUGCCGAAGAGUAGAAUGGGAGUGAGGGGACACGCAAAACGGGCUGCUGCCGGAGGAAGAGGAACAGUGUUGUGGCUCAUGCCAUAUGAAUGGGCUCACUGGCCUGGCCCAGACCCUGACUGCCCACAGGAUCUUUGGUGAGUCACUGUCACUGAGCCUGUGAGCCUAGGGUCCCUCUCCAACCUCACCCUCAGAGAGGACAGAACAAGAUGACCUGUGGCAUGCUGCAGAACACCAUGUUGGGGACUGUGGGUUUAGAGUCCUCUUGGGGACAUGUCCAUCGUUCACUAAUUCGGUGGAGUUGAGCUGCUGAGAGCUAGGAAAGCUACUCUCCCCCCGGAUCCCAACCUAGCCCUGUGGAAGACCAGACAAAAGAAGGAAGCAAUGACAUUUCUGCACUUUUUAGUUCAGAGAGGCACAGUCAAGGAAAUGCAUUUGAGGUCACUGUUCGAUGUACUUGAAGUACUCAUCCUGGAAAUAGUCUACUUGGAGUAGAGGGAGCUCAAGUGGGCAUGGGAACGUUGUGGAACCAGACCAGGAACAAAGGCGGCUUCAGAGGCCGUCUGUGAGGACUUGCAUGGGAGCAGGGGCGAGAACAUCCAGGGAAGAGAAGGUAGGAGCCUUGGAGUAAAGGAGAACCAGCUCCUCUCCACCCACCAAUGCCCUCCCCAUCCCCAGAUGAAUGAGGUAAUAAUAAUACCUGUAGCUGGACAUGGUGGCUCAAGCUUGUAAUCCCAGCAUUUUGGGAGGCCAAGGCGGGUGGAUCACCUGAGGACGGGAGUUCGAGACCAGCCUAUCAACAUGGAGAAACCCUGUCUCUACUAAAAAUACAAAAAUUAGUUGGGCACGGUGGUGCAUGGCUGUAAUCCCAGCUACUUGGGAGGCUGAGGCAGGAGAAUCACUUGAACCCGGGAGGCGGAGAUUGCGGUGAGCCAAGAUCGUGCCAUUGCACUCCAGCCUGGGCAACAAGAGCAAAACUCCAUCUCAAAAUAAUAAUAAUAAUAAUAUCUGUGAUGCAGUUGAAUGCUUACUGUGUGCCAGGUACUAUUUCAGGUGCUCUGCAUGGAUUAUCUCAGGUGAUGCUCUCAAUAAAUCUCAGAUGAGGUAUUUUCCCCUUACUUUAUAGACAGAGAAACGGAGGCACAGAGAAGGAAGCGGCAGUUAAAGCUGCGAAGAACCUAACAAAUUUCAAGAUUGUAAGUGCCUUUUCCCAGGAUGCCAGCAAGUACUGAGGCAAGUAUGAUUGCCCUAGGUGCCAACUCUUAUUUGCACUUAACACAUUUACUUCCUCCUUCUUUCCCCCUCCUUUUUAUUAACUCUGUUGCUUUUACAGCCUGUAUUUUGAGCUGCAUCAAACCCUGUUGGAAUAAAAAAGGACAUUUCUAGGAGAUCAGUCUUCGAGAUUGGCCCCAGUUUCCCCAGAGUAGGAAGAGGCAGGAAGCCAGAGCACAUGUUCUCUCCAGAAAUAAAGUUGU